AGAAUCUUUCGCAAUGCCCGAAAGGGUGACGAAGCGACGCCGCGUGUGGGAAGAAGGCCUUCGGGUUGUAAACCACUGUCGGGAGUUAGGAAAUGUAAGGGUGUUAAUAGUAUCCUUACUUGACUAAGGCUCCGGAGGAAGCUACGGCUAACUCUGUGCCGGCAGCCGCGGUAAUACAGAGGCGGCAAGCGUUGUUCGGAAUUAUUGGGCGUAAAGAGCACGUAGGCGGCCUUGUAAGUCAGUUGUGAAAGCCUUCUGCUUAACGGAAGAACAGCAGCUGAUACUGCAAGGCUAGAGUGCGGAAGGGGAGAGUGGAACUUCUGGUGGAGCGGUGAAAUGCGUAGAUAUCAGAAGGAACGCCGGCGGCGAAGGCGACUCUCUGGUCCGUAACUGACGCUGAGUGUGCGAAAGCUAGGGGAGCAAACGGGAUUAGAUACCCCGGUAGUCCUAGCCGUAAACGAUGGGCACUAAGUAGAGGGGUUUUGAUUAUCUCUCUGCCGGAGCUAACGCAUUAAGUGCCCCGCCUGGGGAGUACGGCCGCAAGGCUAAACCUCAAAAGAAUUGACGGGGGCUCGCACAAGCGGUGGAGCAUGUGGCUUAAUUCGAUGCAACGCGAAGAACCUUACCGAGGUUUGACAUGGUAGAAGUAGGAGCCUGAAAGGGUGACGAACGGUAUCCAGUCCGUGACUAUCACAGGUGUUGCAUGGCUG
rnacentral:rRNA from 1 species